CUGAGGAUCUGUAGUGGAGAUGGGAAAUUGAGGUUUGGUAAGAAUGGGGAGUUUAAGAUACUUCAAGUGGCUGAUAUGCACUUUGCUGACGGCAAGAAAACGCCGUGUCAGGAUGUGUUGCCGGAGCAGAUGAAGGCCUGCUCCGACCUCAACACCACCGCCUUUAUUCGGCGGAUGAUCCGAGCGGAAAAACCGGAUUUCAUUGUUUUCACCGGUCAGUUUAUUCUUUUCUUGUGUCUAGUCAUNAUUUAGGCUCGAUUAGUUAAACGAGCCGGCUCGGCUCGAUUAACUUCAGCUGGAAUUACGCCCGGCUUGAAACUCGGCUCGUUCGACCCAAAUUACACCCCUAGAUAGCGGAUAAUCAGAAGAUCAUUCUUCUGCCAUUAAGCACUUGUGAGUACUAAUUUUCGGUGUUUGCGCAAUUUUCUAUUAUGUCUUGUUUUAAUCAUUUUAUGUGCUCUAAAUUAUAAAAAAAAUGCACACAAUUUGUUAAAGAUUAUAUAAAAUAAAAGUUGAAAUUAUGGAAAAAAUAAAUUUCAAUUAGAAAAAGUUAAAAUGUUUUUUAAUAAUUUAAUUGGAUAAAUUAUAUUUAUAUACUUCCUCUAUCUUAAAAAAAAUAAAAGACUUAUUGGAUUUGACUUUAAUUUUAGUUAUAUAUUAUAUGUAUAAAAUUUAAUAAUUUCAAAUAUGAGGUUGAGCGUGGAGAGGACCUUCAAAGGAUUGGAAAAUUAAUGAAUAGUGUGAUUAUUUGGUGAAUAAAAAUAAUAUGCAAACUCUUUCGGGUCUAAAAAUGAAAUUCAAAUUCAAAAAUAUCGGAUUCGAUAAAAUCCAGUCGGAUUGAAACGAUCGGGUAUCUAUCUAGUUCGGAUUUUCUGUAAUCCCUCUUGUCUGUGAAAUCAGGAGAGUAGUACUUUUUUUUUUAAGAGAAAACUGCACUUUAUGGCCUGCAGUUAGGGGCAACUAGCACUUACGAUACUACAGUUUUGGAAGUACGAUUUGUUAUACUAAACUUUCUAAGCGCUAAACACUUCGUGUAUCAUCGUCAAUUUUGACUAACACCGUUAGUUUUCUCGGGUACACUUUUAUGUGUCAAAACAGUUGAAAUACUACCAAAAGUUAAACCAGCACCUGCUAUACUACAAAAGUUAGAAUUAAAACCAAUACAUAAACACAAUAACAUUCAAAAACUAAACACAACUAAACUAAAACAAUUCAACAGCUAAAUUCAAAAGCCUAACAAGCAUUCAAAAUCCAAACUUCCAUCAUUCAAAAGCCAAGUCUUGAACAUUAUUCAAACAAACUUAACAUCAUAACAUAAAAACAAACAAACUAACAUGACUUGAACUUAAACAAGAUAAUUGGAAAGAGGCAUGGACAACUAAGUCUCAUCAGCAGCAAGAAUAGAGCUCAUAGAAUCAGGAGCAUCUUCCAAUUCUGUUAUCCCACCAUCACCAUCAAUCUCUGACUCAACAACAACAAUUGCAGAUGCAUUACGAGUUUUGGGAACAUGUUAGGAAUCCCAUGCCUCAUUUUCCAAGUUCUUAAUCAAUAAAACCAAAUCCAAAAGCCAAAAAUCUGGAUCAGGCUUGUUCACAUGAUUCAUAGCUUCCUCAUCAUCACAUUCUAUUACCACAUUGCUAACAUCUCCUCUCUCCCAAGCUAGCUUAAGCUCAUAAUAGAUUGACCAUAUCUCUGUAGCUAGUGGCAAAGUUAAUCCAAUCAUACCUGCAGCCCUCUUAACCCACUGUCCUUGGUUGUUUCUCAUCACACAAUCAACAACAUCUUUCAUUUGAGCCCUAUCAAAAACACCCUUACAAUUAACUUUAACUACAUUAGGAGAGGGUUUACUCCAGCAAACCGUAUUUAGGUACUAUUUGCGAGAAAAUACAAACAAUUUGUGAGAUGUUUUGUGGACAAAUUAAGGUUGUUUAUAGCUCAUGUAUAUAUAUUGGAGGAAAUUAAAGAUAAUUUUAACCACCUACUCACUCAUUGGUGGAUUCAGUCAAGUAUGCAGUCCACAAUGUAGUCAAGUGUUGAAUUAACAAGGCAUUCAAAGUCUGUUUCCAAUACUGUUUCUAAAAAUCAAGGCAAUUCCACCCACUUAUUCGAAACUGAUUUCAACUAAUUUGAACGAGAUAUUGAUGAUUAUAACUAAGGAAAAAAGUGACACCAAACAAAUUCGAACAAAAACAUAACAAACAUUAAUAUACGAAAAUAACACAAUAAUACAACUAUAAAAAUGAAGAAUUUAUGAUACAAUUACAUAAUUGCACAACAAUGUUUGACACUCAUACAAUUAUAAUAAUUCAAACAGAACAUCAAAUUAUAAGAACUAACCUUAAUACCAUGAAUUUGUAUAUGAUAUGCAGCCCCCAAAUUAUAUAAUGAUGACUCGAAACAGAGUAAUGAAUUGGGGAUGAGUACAAACAACUGAAAUUAGGGUUCUUGCUUCUGAUUUGGGAGAAAAAAUCGACAUAUAUAUAUAUGUUGUAGCUGAAAAGACAGAAUUACCCCCGGAAAAACUAACAGUGUUAGUCAAAAUUGACGGUGAUACACGAAGUGUUUAGCGCGUAUAAAAUUUAGUAUAACAAGUGGUACUCCCAGAACUGUAGUAUCGCAAGUGCAAGUUGCUCCUAACUGCAAAUACAGAAAGUACAGUUUUCUCAUAUUUUUUUUAAUUUGGAUAGCCCAGUGGUGGGUUUAUUCUUCUGUUGUCCCGGGACACCCGGGUUCGACUCUGGCUCAUCUCGAGAAUUAUUAGAACAGAUACUAAUUUAUAAGGCAUAUAAGCCUGCAUUGUCAAAAAAAAUAAAAAUAUCCCUCUUUCCUAUAUUCUUACAAAGACCGAUUUCAAAGACCUACGGAGCAAAAUGUUACUCCCUCCGUCCCACCCGAUUCUUUACAGUUUCCUUAUUUGGCCGUCCCACCCAUUUCUUUACAUCACAAAACUUUCCCAAAAUAGUUAAUGGGUCCCACCACUUUCUCACUUUUUCUUCCUUUUCACACUACUUUUACUCCACCAACUUCCUUUUAUAUAUUAAAAAUCAAUGGGUCCCACCACUUCACCCACUUUUCCUUCUCUUUUCCACUACUUUAUACAUAUUUCUUAACCUCCGUGCCCAAACCCAAUGUAAAGAAUUGGGUGGGACGGAGGGAGUAAAAAGGAAAAAGAGAGGAAGCGGGGUACUAGAUAGACCGGACAUUAAAAGCUAACAACCAUAUUAAACCCUCACGAGAUAAGACCCAAAACCAGCAUAUCCGUCUCGUCAACAACACUUGUGUUUUUAUUACACGACAACUAACAGUACCUCAACUCUCAAGCCUCAAACUCUUAACUCUACAUACACUAAUACAGUCAAGGUCUCCUCCUCCAAUAGUCUAUAUAUACAGUAGUACACAACAGCUAGACUGAUUCAGAAAACAUCAUGGGUUUAAAACUAGAGUUGUUAUUGUUUGUGAUACUUUUUGUUAGUUCAUGUGAGCUGAGGAUCUGUAGUGGAGAUGGGAAAUUGAGGUUUGGUAAGAAUGGGGAGUUUAAGAUACUUCAAGUGGCUGAUAUGCACUUUGCUGACGGCAAGAAAACGCCGUGUCAGGAUGUGUUGCCGGAGCAGAUGAAGGCCUGCUCCGACCUCAACACCACCGCCUUUAUUCGGCGGAUGAUCCGAGCGGAAAAACCGGAUUUCAUUGUUUUCACCGGUCAGUUUAUUCUUUUCUUGUGUCUAGUCAUUUCAAUUUGAGAUGAGUAUGUUAUGUACUUAGUCCGUCUCAUUCAUUUCUAUACUGCUCAAUACGCAAUUUGCUCGGUACGCAAUUUAGUACUCCUAUAAAGUAUAGCCUAACUUAUAUAUAUAAAAAAAUCUGUUUAUGCAGAGAAAGAAAAUCUUGAAAAUGAUUUAUAGAGUUAUCCUUACAGGAAUAUUAAAAUGUGUGUCACAUUCCGUCUGCCGAUAUAUACAAUUUAGGAGUACGGCGGAGUAGUAUAAUAUAAAGUUGUGUUGUGUAAAAUUUGUUUAGUAAGCCCC
rnacentral:lncRNA from 1 species